AGCACUUUAUUCCGUCAUAUUGUCUCUGGAUUAAAUGUAUUCCUAAUGUCACUUUUAUAAACAAAUAAAGGUUAAAACUUUACAAUAUUAUUGUAAAUUUGCAAUUGGAAGCUGCAAAAGGGAUUAGAAUGUCAGCAAGGUCGGAACAAUUUUCGAUUUAAGUGGAAUUUACGGAAGGAUUUGACCUCACAACUAAUCUGCAAAAUGAAGAAGCAUCAUAUUUUGUAACCGGUUAGAAGAAACAAUAGAAAUAGUACUGUGGAUUGAUAAAUAAAGAGU